AAAAUAAUAUAUUAAUAUAUUUUAAUAAAAAAAGGAAAAAGUCUCGAAAAAAAAUAAGACCAUUGAUAAAGCUGGCAUGUUGCAUGAACAUUCUGGUACCAGACCUUUAUUACUUUAUUACUACCAAAAAAAAAAAAUGAACGGUGAGAUGCUGAGAUUAAAAAUGUAUGGUUAGAUUAGGAGAAGAAGUAAAACCUAAAACUAAACCUAGAGAAAACUCACUAGCACACACGCCUCAUUUGUCAUUUCCUCAUCUAUCUGAUAUUCUCAAACAUCUCUCUCUCUCCUAACCUCCUAACCCUAGCUAUCUCCCUCUUCAUCUGAAUCUCUCAAGCUUUCUCAAAUUCUCAGAUCUGUCAUAUACUCAUAUUCUACUCACGGAAAUAUAAGAUCUUUUUUCUGGAUAUUCUCAAACUUCGAAUUUUUCUGGUAUUUUUCUGGUUUUUUAUAAGUUCUAUUUAUUCUGGUUUAUGAGUUUAUCUGCCUUUUUUUUUUAAUUUUAAUUUUUUUUUUCUUUUUUUUUGUAGAUCUUUCAUAUUCUCUACUCACGGACGAUAUAAGGUAUUUGUAUUUUUCAUUCUCAUUCUAAGUUCCUAUUAUUUUUUCUAAGUUCUGUUUUUUCAUUUAUUAUUUUGUAAA